rnacentral:lncRNA from 1 species
AAAGACUCACACAACUGCAUGGGCAGACAGUGACAAGAGGGGUCAGGAGAUUGCUAUUUCCAUUUGUGUUCUGCUAAGCAUCCUCACUUUGGCUCUGGUAUGCAGUGGUACAGAAGGUCCACUCUGGAACUGGGGCUGUUUGGACAGGUGUCCUACCAGUGCAUUAUCAAAGAUUUUAAGGAAUCAAAUGAAGGAUGCUGACUCAUUAAGAGGCGGAAUGGAGAGGUGUGAAUUCCUAGCUGAUGGCUAUGUAUAGCUAUGGGUUAGUAUUUCAAAAAGGUGAGAAAAUGAUUUUGCCUAAUGUUUAAAAAAUUACAUUUAAGUUUAGACCUGG